CACGCUGUAAACGAUCGGUACUAGAGAUGGUGGGAGUUGACCCCUGCCGUCUCGGAGCUAACGCGAUAAGUACCGCGCCUGGGAAGUACGGUCGCAAGACUAAAACUCAAAGGAAUUGACGGGAGCCCGCACAAGCGGUGGAUUAUGUGGUUUAAUUCGAAGCAACGCGCAGAACCUUACCUAGGUUUGACAUCCUUUGACAAUUGCAGAGAUGCAACUUUUGUAGCAAUACAACAAAGAGACAGGUGC
rnacentral:rRNA from 1 species